UCCCAAAUCCCAGAAACCCUAACCCUACUGUUUCCCUUUCCUCAGCCUUUGAAACACAUAGCCUUCACCCCCUUUCUCCUUCGCCUACCAACGCACAAAACACCCACACCCACGGAGAGAGAGACGAAAGAUUCAGAGAGGAGGGAGACGCUGUUGCCACCGCCGCCGUCCUUGUCGCCGUUUGUAGAGUCGCGCCUUACUGCCGGUCUGCCAUCAAACAGCCGCAUGCGUUGUCACCAAGGAGAGAGGGAAAGCUCAUGCUCGCCGUUGAAGGAGACUCCAUCGUUGCACCCAGCCUUUGUCUAGCUCGCUAUCACCGGCGUCUCACCGCUGUCGAUGUGGAGACCGAACGUCGUUGAUCUUCCUGCCGCAACCUUGGAGUCCGUCCCGUCAUCAAGGAAGACUGAGAUGAGGGAGAAGGAGCCGUGAACGCCGCCAUGGUGGUUGCCGUCGCCGCUGCCUAGGUUCCUAUGGUACAAGUCGCCAUUGAUGGAGAAGACGCCACUGAGGAGCAAAGCCUCUAUUUCGCGCUAGUCACGGCGGAGCUACUAUGGAUGUUGCUGUCUCACUGCCACUGAAGGUCCAUUGCCGCCAAUCCACGCCGCCGCUGAAGAUGAGUUGUGUUUGCUAUUGCUUCCUAUUCGAUUCAAAUCCUUUGUCUUGUUGCAACUAUCGUCGCUGCCUUAGGACAGUGAGAAUGCUGUUAUUCUGGUUAAUGCUCCUGCUGCUGCUGCUAAGAAGUGAUGAGAAAAAGCCACUGCUGUUAAUUCGGUUCAAGGUUGUUGCCACUGCGAAUUAAAAAUAAAAGAAGGCUUUGUUGCGUUAUCGAAUUUCGGCUAAUCGAGGUAGGGGAUUUAUUUUAAAAUUAACAGUUUUAACUUAUGAAUACCAAUGAGGUUUAGUGAGUAAUUGCAAAUAAUUCAUAAAUAUGAUUAAUUGAUAGAAAUAAGCUUGGUUUGAGGUUGUGAAAUUUGGAUUAAGUUUGAUGAUGUAUUAGUGUUUCAAUUGGAUUAUUGAAUUCUGAUUAUGGCUGUGAAUGUCUUUGGGCUUUGCUGUUAUGAGUGUUUGAAGCUGUAAUUGAUAUUGGUUUUCUAAUUUUGAUAGAUUUGUUGGAAAUUCUCAUCUUAUGUGAUAUUGCUGAAUUGGCUAGAAUCUGGUUGUGAAUUGUAUUUUGAAUUACUGAUUUUUGUGAUGGGAUGGCUGAGAUUCUGAUCUUGAGUGAGUUAUUUUGAAUUAUUUGAUAUUGAAUUGGAAUUUUAAUUUAUUGGAAUGGCUGUGAAAUGGACUUGUGACGGGUUGGAACUGGUUGAAAUGUGGCUGCAAGUGGUGAUUCAUUUAAUGUUACUUAUUAAAUUUAAAUAUGAUGAGUUACUUAUUGAAUGAAAUGUAUUUGAGAAAAGUUAGUUGUGAUGAUUAUUCUGAGUUAUGAUUGAAGUUGGAUGCGGAUGUGAAUUGAGUUUAGGUUAUAGCUGUGAUAUUGAAUGGCUUCGUUGUCGGGAGUAAUUAACUUAUGAGAUUUACUUUGAUUUGAGGCUGAGUAAACUAUAAUAAAAGAAGUUGUUGGAUUCAAUUUUGAUAAGUUUGAAUUAACUAUAGAAUUAGUUAUGAUUUUUCAAAGUUAAAAUGUAAAACUUGAUUUUCUGCAUUACUUUCAAAAGAAGCCGAAAACUUUGAAAAUCUAUAACUAAUUCUAUGAUGAUUGGAAUUGCGUGGGACCAAGUCUGGAUUAAGCUUGGGAAUAUAGAAAGCUGGACUGGUGAAUUUGAGACUUUUUCAUUUAGUUUAUGAUUUAUGGUGAAUUUUUGGAUUAUGGAUUUCAAAUCUGGUUUUCUGCAGAAUGCUUAACACAGCAGCAACUUGUUUCCUCUAUUAGAAAUUCUCGAGUUUGAAUUUUGAAAUGGGACCAAUUUUAAAUAAAACUCUGGUUCUGGUACUUUAAUUUCAUAAAAAUUUAGAAUUGUUAGAGUUGUGGUUUUAAAGAUAUGGAUUUUUAAAGUAAGAUGUAUUAUGCAAUAAAAAUCAGGUUUUGUUUUCUAAGUCAGUAACUUUGAGACUUUAUAAUUUUUAAUUCUGGAAUGAUAUUGAGAUGAAACCAAUUGAAGGUGAAAUUUGAGUAUGUUUAGUAUAUAUGAUCUAAAUUUUAGGGUUUUCCAUGUUUUAAUAAGUGAGUUAUGGAACUUGGAAGAGGUUGUGCUCAAUGAUUUGUAAACAGACUUCAGCAGAAAAUUACCUACCUUCCAAGCUACGUAACUCCUUCAUUAAAAACGGUAUGACCCUGGAACCAAUUGAGAAAGAAAUUUGAAUAAGUUAUGUUUAACCACAUUAAUUUUGAAAGUGAUUGGAUUUACUUUGGAUUUUAUAUGAAAUUUCGAAUGUUAUAUGCUGCUGCUGUUUUCUAGUUUUAAGGUACUACAGAGCAGUUACGGUUUUGCUUAUAUUCCCGAAGCUAGAUUCAGCAAAAAAUUGUGAUUUUAGUUUAACAGAAAGCCUAAUUCAAGACGGUCGCAUGGAUAUAAGGUUUGUGUAAUUCUGAAUUUGUUUGAUAUUUCAAAAUAAAACUGAAAUUAGACUGCCAAUAUUGUUUUAGUGAUUACUUGGAUAUGGAAUUUGAGAAAUAGAUUUCCUGUACUAUUAUUAAAAGUUUUUGAGAAUAUAUUGUUGUGGCAAUUGUUGAAAAAGGUUUGAUGAGAUGUUGAGAAAGAGGGAACCCGUAAGGGUGGUUAAGUCUGAGUUUUAGGGGAGGUGUUGUCAAAAUUUUAUAAAAAUCUGAGGUUUUAUUCGAAAAGUCAUUUUAAAAUAUUUGAACUUGAAAAAUUAUAUUAUUUGCGUUUUAUCUAAAUAAGAGAAGAGUUAUACUAUUUUGAAUUUGGAAUUAUCAAGGAAAGGUUUAUGUUUCAAGUUUGAAUUAUUUAAGAAAGGAGUUAUGUUUUGGGCUUGAAACAAAGAAUUACUUUUCAGGAGUUUGGUGAAUUUUAUAAUAUUUGAAUCCGAAUGAUAAAGAGAAAUGGUUUGAGCUAAGAUGUUGUAAAAGUGAAAGAUGUGAAGUUUGUAUAGUAUGAUUGAAUGUGUAUAGUAUAAUUGAACAGAGAAUGAAAGAGGUAAUGCAUAAGAAUGUGAAAGUGAUGAUGAAUAAUGAGAAUGUUAAUGAAUGAUGAUAAUGAGAAUGAUUAUGUAAGAAUCUGCUGUAGAGAGGCAGUCAGAUAGAUGGUGGUACGACCACUGAGAACGCUUUCCUGGGAUACCUUGCUAUAAUGCUUUGCUGUAAGACAGAGGUUGCUUACAGAGGUAUCGAGAUUAGUGUGCUCCUGUAAGACAGAGGUUGCUUGCAGUGAGUGUGUUGUUGCUCCUGUAAGACAAAGGUUGCUUAUAGUGAGUGUGUUGUUGCUCUUGUAAGACAAAGGUUGCUUACAGUGAGUGUGUUGUGCUCCUGUAAGACAGAGGUUGCUUACAGUGAGUGUGUUGGGCGUAUAUUGGCUAAUAAGUGCCGCCCUGCAAGACAAAGGUUGCUUGCAAUGGAUACCCUGCAAGACAAAGGUUGCUCGCAGUGGGUAUUGCCAAUAGGAAAGCCUUAUCCAGACAGAGGUUGCUGGGUAACGUCGGGAGCGGGUAUGUAACCGACAAAUGAGCUUAUUACCUGCGCUAGGGCUAGACAUGCAUCAUCCUUAUUUGCGCAUCUGCAUUUGAUUGUGUUUGCUUGUCUUAUUUCUUUGUAAAUGUGCUGCUUGUCUUGUUGUAAUUUGUUUGUAUGUUGAAUUAAAUCUCUUGCUUGUACUUUUAGUUUCUGAAUGUUUUAAAGAGAUUAGUAAUUGACGUUGUGAUUGAGAAUUAAUUAAGUGACUGAAAAAAAUGAUUGAUAUAAUUAAUCUUGUCAUUGAGAUCUGUUUUGAGUUUAGAGUCUUCGAAAGAGGUGAUCAAUUAGUUAAAGUAAAGUUAAGAGUAUAUCCAAAAGGUUUGAUGAAAUAUAGUUUUCCUAGAGCAUGUUUAUUAUUUGCAUUUUAUUUCAUUACUUUUAUGGCAUUCCCAUUCUCUACUGAGAACGUGUGGUUUGUUCUCACGCCAAAAUCCUCCACCUUUUCAGUGACACAGGUUCGUAGACACAGUGUAAAGCGUGGGCGAUUAUAGAAUUUAUUUAUGAGUUAAGUGUGAGUUAAUUUGCUUUCAUAGAAUUCCCUCGCCCUUAUUAUUUUUAUUUUAUACAGAGGGAUAUGAUUUGUAUCUGAGUUUUAUUUGAAAUCUUUUGGAUGAAAGAUAUUAUUAUUAAUGAUUAUGUGAUUAUUGUUACUUAGUGAUCUUUGCUAUGUGAUUUUAAUUAAUAAAAGCAAAAUUUUUCUGGGAUUUUCUAUAAAACUAAAUCACGAUAUCAAACUAAAGGCUCAAAAGUAAAUAGUUGAUAAAGGAAAGCAGGUUGGUAACGCCUUACUUUUGGUACGAUCAUGACGUUCUGGAAGUUAGGUCGUUACAUUUCUGGCAUUUAAUGCCAGAAUAGGGCAGGAAGUUGGCAUUUGAACGCCAGUUUAUGUCAUCAAAAAGCGGGCAAAGUAGGAACUAUUAUAUAUUUCUGGAAAGUCCUAGAUGUCUACUUUCCAACGCAAUUGAGAGCGCACCAUUUGGGUUUCUGUAGCUCUAAAAAAUUCAUUUUGAGUGCAGAGAGGUCAGAAUCUGUUCCGGGGAUUACCUGAAACUGUGGGUCGAUCUCGGACAAGAUCUUCUGUGCUGGUCGGAGCUGUUGUGUCCGACUUGGUGAUGGUGCUGAUCCUUCGUUCCCGGAGGGUGGGGGGUACCUGCAAGGGACUCCGAUGCUUAAGUUAGCAAGGGUAUUAAGCAGGUAUUUUCUGGCUGAAAUUGAGGGAGCUGAGCAAAAAUCUGAGUUAGGCUGAAAAAGGACUGCUGAUGCUGUUGGAUUCUGACCUCCCUGCACUCGAAAUGAAUUUUCUAAAGCUACAGGAGUCCAAUUGGCGCGCUCUUAACGGCGUUGGAAAGUAGACAUCCAGGGCUUUCCAGCAAUAUAUAAUAGUUCAUACUUUGCGCGAAGAUAGACGACGUAAACUGGCGUUCAACGCCAGUAUCAUGCUGUUGUCUGGCGUCCAGCGCCAGAAACAGGUUACAAGCUGGAGUUCAAUGCCAGAAACAGGUUACAACCUGGCGUUGAACGCCCAAAACAGCCCCAGGCACGUGAGAAGCUUAAAUCUCAGCCCCAGCACACACCAAGUGGGCCCCAGAAGUGGAUUUCUGCACUAUCUAUCAUAGUUUACACAUUUUCUGUAAACCUAGGUUACUAGUUUACUAUUUAAAGAACUUUUAGAGAUUUACUUUGCACCUCAUGACAUUUUAGAUCUGAAAUUUGUACCUUUUGGCAGCAUGAGUCUCUAAACCCCAUUGUUGGGGUGAGGAGCUUUGCAGCGUCUCGAUGAAUUAAUACAAUUACCUUUGUUUUCCAUUUAAACACGCUUGUUCCUAUCUAAGAUGUUCAUUCGCGCUUAAACAUGAAGAAGGUGAUGAUCCGUGACACUCAUCACCUUCCUCAGAUCCAUGAACGUGUGCCUGAUAACCACCUCCGUUCUACAUCAGACUGAAUGAGCUUCUCUUAGAUUCCUUAAUCAGAAUCUUCGUGGUAUAAGCUAGAAUUGAUGGCGGCCACUCUUGAGGAUCCGGAAGGUCUAAACCUUGUCUGUGGCAUUCCGAGUAGGAUUCAAGGAUUGAAUGGCUGUGACGAGCUUCAAACUCGCGAUUGCUAGGCGUGAUGACAAACGCAAAAGGAUUAAUGGAUCCUAUUCCAACAUGAUCGAGAACCAACAGCUGAUUAGCCGUGCUGUGACAGAACAUCUGGACCAUUUUCACUGAGAGGAUGGGAGGUAGCCACUGACAAUGGUGACACCCUACAUACAGCUUACCAUGGAAGGAGCCUUGCGUGUGGAAAAGGAUUUCAAGGAAGAGUUGAAGUUCAGAGGACAAAGCAUCUCCAAAACCCCAACAUGUUCUUCAUUAAUAAAGUAACAAUUACUUAUUCCAAACACUUUUACUUCUUACAAUUAAAUCCAAAUAACCUUUUUGGCAUCCUGACUAAGAUUAAUAAAAUAAACAUAGCUUGCUUCAAACCAAUAAUCUCUGUGGAAUCGACCCUUACUCACGUAAGGUAUUACUUGGACGACCCAGUGCACUUGCUGGUUAGUUGUGCGGAUUGCAAAAGUGUGAUUGCAAUUUCGUGCACCAAGUUUUUGGCACCGUUGCCGGGGAUUGUUCGAGUUUGAACAACUAAAGGUUUAUUUUAUUUCUUAGAUUAGGAAUAAUUUAUUUUUGUUGCUAUAGGGUCAUUAAAUUCUGAGAGGAUAAUUUCUUUUCACAAAUUUUUUUUUUCAAAAUUAUUAUUUUUCUUUAUUAAUUCUUAAUUUUUC